CUGCCUUCUCAAAUUACUAUUAUUACAUAGUCUCGCCCAACUUUCAGUUCGAAACGAUCUGACUGCUCUGGCCCGGAUGGGUGGCUGGAUUGGACCAUCAAAAGUUCCAUCUAUAACUAUCUCAUGCAUCUUCUAGCUCAAGAAUAUGGUUGCUAGGCUUGUAAUUGACUCUGUUUGACAAUGGAUCUGGCAUGGGACAUAGAGGUGGGGAUAACUUGAUAAACAAAAACUGUUAGCACGGGAAGUAUAAGCACUCACACACUGAUAACUUACCAAACCCAAAGUGUUGUGAAUCAUGGAAAAAUCUAAGUUUACAUCUAUCUUCAGCUAUCUUCAGCAGUAGCUACGGAAGCUAUUGUAACAGCGCUGGCAGCACAGAGUGCACUCCCAACCCCUGGAUCAACCAAAACAUAACUUUCUCCUCGGUUGUCAAUAAUAACAGGCAUCUAUCUGGUAAUCAGAUUUCCUUUCACAUCAUGGAUAAUGACAUCUUGUGAUCUGAUGAAAAUAUUGCAUGGUAUGAGCGGUGCAGGGUGCUACAUAUGUAAGGAAGAGACAGGCCAAAAAGUAAUGCGAAACAUGUGAAGUGGUACUAGUAGGAUUCCUUGAAGGCUUAAGUCAGUAAAUGGACGGGUAAUUAUUUUGCAUUUGAGUGAGUUCAAUAGGUUGUAGGAUUUGCAUGAUACUUGCAUUUGUUAGGCCACUGGGGUA
rnacentral:sRNA from 2 species